rnacentral:rRNA from 1 species
AUACGGAGGGUGCAAGCGUUACGCGGAAUUACUGGGCGUAAAGCGUACGUAGGCGGUUAAGUCAGUCAGAUGUGAAAGCCCUGGGCUCAACCUGGGAACUGCAUUUGAUACUGCUUGGCUAGAAUAUGGUAGAGGGAAGUGGAAUUCCGGGUGUAGCGGUGAAAUGCGUAGAGAUCCGGAGGAAUACCAGUGGCGAAGGCGGCUCCCUGGCUUAAAACUGACGCUGAGGUACGAAAGCGUGGGUAGCAAACAGGAUUAGAAACCCCGGUAGUCC